rnacentral:rRNA from 1 species
CUUCGGGAGGCUCCAGUGGGGAAUAUUGCAUAAUGGAGGAAACUCUGAUGCAGCAACGCCGCGUGGAGGAUGACACUUUUCGGAGCGUAAACUCCUUUUAUAUAGGAAGAAGAUGACGGUACUAUAUGAAUAAGCGCCGGCUAACUCCGUGCCAGCAGCCGCGGUAAUACGGAGGGCGCAAGCGUUACUCGGAAUCACUGGGCGUAAAGAGCGUGUAGGCGGAUUAAAAAGUCAGAAGUGAAAUCCUAUAGCUUAACUAUAGAACUGCUUCUGAAACUCUUAAUCUAGAAUAUGGGAGAGGUAGAUGGAAUUUCUGGUGUAGGGGUAAAAUCCGUAGAGAUCAGAAGGAAUACCGAUUGCGAAGGCGAUCUACUAGAACAUUAUUGACGCUGAGACGCGAAAGCGUGGGCAGCAAACAGGAUUAGAUACCCUAGUAGUC